GUCGGGAUAGCUCANCUGGUAGAGCAGAGGACUGAAAAUC
rnacentral:tRNA from 3 species